ACAUACACGCAAACACGCACGCGCGCAUGGGCUCGGACACACAAAGAACCCGGGCUCGCCGAGCGCGCGCGCACACCCUCAUGCCGCGCGGCGAACGUUCGUUGCCAGGUGCGGCAGCCCGCCCUGGGCGCCUCCUGCCUGCGGAAGAAGAGCAGGACAGACCCGACCCGACCCGCCUAGUCCUUUCCUUCACAGCAGCCUCCAAACUCCACCGCUCGCCUCUUCCGCCAGGCUCCUAGGAUGAGGCCCAGGGCUCCUGGAGCAGCCAGGUGCAAACCAGACCGGGCUCGCACUCCACUGCGUUGCCCUGGGCGAUCGUCCACGUUCUGGGAGACUCGGUAUGCCCCGGGAGGGUGGCCUGAGCUUGUGGUGUGAAGCCAGGUACAGAGCUCCAGAAUCCUGGCCUUGCCAUGGCUGUGUGACCCUGGGCAAGUGACUCAAUUUCUCUGCCUCAGUGUCCUCAUCUAUAAAAUGGAAAGGAAAAUAGUAGCGCUUGUCUCCUCCGGCUGUUAUGAAGAUCCAAGGUUAACAGCGUAGAGAACUCGGAACGCACCCGGCAUCUAGGAAGUGCCAAGCCAGUGUCAGCUAAUGUGACUAUUUUUAAAUGGAGAUGGGGAGUGUGCCAUUAUUCUUGUCCUUAUUUGAAUGAACGGGCCCUCAGGGACCAUUUUCCACUGCCCCGCCCUGGCAGCAUGAGAGGGAAACGCUGUGAGAACCCCGAACCCCAGCCUUCUCCUGUCCCUCUCUCUCUCUCUCUCUCUCUGCACCUGGGAGGCGGGGAGGAGAGAGCCGAUCCUUCCACCAUUUACACGGAGAAUGAAAGAAGAAAUACCGGCCAGGCGCGGUGGCUCAUGCCUGUAAUCCCAGCACUUUGGGAGGCCGAGGGGGCAGAUCACCUGAGGUCAGGAGUUCGAGACCAGCCUGGCCAACAUGGCGAAACUCCGUCUCUACUAAAAGUACAAAAAUUAGCCUGGCGUGGUGCCGGGUGCCUAUAAUCCCAGCUACUCAGGAGGCUGAGGCAGGAGAAUCCCUUGAACCCGGGAGGCGGAGGUUGCAGUGAGCCGAGAUCACGCCACUGCACUCCAGCCUGGGUGACAAGAAUGAGUCUCAAAAAAACAAAAAAGAAGAAGAAGAAGAAAUACCACACAGGUCCGACCAAGAGCUGCCCCCACUCAGGCCAGGAUCCCUGCCUGGAAGGGCUCUGCAGCCACUCUCCCUGUACAGCCCCAGGAUGCUAAGGAGCAUCCCGAAGUGACACUGGCUCUCCCUGGAGGCCCCUGCCAUCGGACUCCAACCUGACCUUCCAGUGGGUGCUCCUCAUACUGGCUCCAGCCAAGACAGACGAGGACCACUGGGCACAUGCCCUUCCUUGCCUUCCUGUCACCCUUCCCACCCUUCUCUGCGGGCCCCGGGUGGCCCCUUCCUCCAGGAAGCACCUGGGGAUCAGCAGUGCCUCUAGGGUCCCAGUGGCCCACGUGACAUCUGCUUCUGGCCACCUGAGCACUCUCCUUUGAGUUCAGGGUCACUGUACCCUUUUAUAGGUGAGCAAACGAAAGCUGAGGAAGAGGAGUGACUGGGUCUCCCACAUCCCUCUGCUUCAGCUAUGAGGUUCCCUCAUGAACUGCAGGAAUAGACGUCAAGCAAAAACUCCUCAGACGCCCUGUGCAUGUGUGGUCGCACAGGGCACAAAGACUGAAGCAAAGGGGCAGGUCCUAGCGUGGGGAGGGGACUCCAGGAUUGAAGUUUGAACCAAAAGGAGGCUUUGACUAAGCCACGAGCAGUGAAGCCGGCAGGAGAGGAAGCAAGUUCUAGCAGAGAAAUUCGCCGGGUAUGGUGGUGCAUGCCUAUGGUCCCAGCUACUCAGGAGGCUGAGGCAGGAGGAUCACUUGAGCCCGGGAGGUGAAGGCUGCGGUAAGCUAUGACUACACCACUGCACUCCAGCCUAGGUGCGAGAGCAAGACCCUGUCUCCAAACAACAACAACAACAACAAAAUCUGAAUGCCUGGUUUAUCUUGAAAUAUGGCAAAAUGGGGCCACCCAGGCCCAUUAACCCCCUGUCUACAAUGUCCUGGAGCUGAGGGGCAUUAGCCACCCUCUCACAUGGGCUCCCCAGGGUGCCACAGCUCCCUCCUAGCUAGUUUGCUCUUUUCUGUCACCUACCGGCCCUUGCAGGGAGCUGAAUUUGAGACCCAUGAUGCACUUUGUGCACCCUGCCCCCUCAAAGAUAACUGUGAGUACCAAGGGAAAUGGAAAGCUUUGGCAACAAGAAGGGAGCUUCAAGGAAAGCCAGGCCGAGGUUCCCCUCAGAACCAUAGACUAGCCUGAAAUUCCACUGGGACUAAUUCUUCUCAUUUCAAGAAUGAAAAUCGAUUGCUGGACAGAGCUCCCGGAGGGCCAAUUUUCAGGCUGUAGUCUACAGCCGUCCACGUAGAGGCAGUGAACGAAAUUUUUCAAAGCCUACUUUAUGAUUACUUUCUUUAGCAGCUCUCAACAGUAAAAUAAAAUUGAUCUAGGACUUUGAACAAAACUUCUCGCCCCUUUCUAGGGAAGAGUUUGUCUCGUCUAUCAGGCCACCAACAAGAGUUGUUGCAAUGCCUGUGGGAGGUGCAGCCCACGCUGGGCCACCUGGCCAGCUCAGGGAUCCUGCUGGAGAUCGAGGAUUGUCUGGUCGGCCUCUUACAACUCUCAGAACAUCAUCCCUGGGAGCAGCCCUGAAGAGACCAAGGGCCUCAGCUCCAGUGUCUCAUCCCCAGAGACCUUCCCAGACCACCAUGUCUCAGACAGCCCCGGCUGCCUCCUGCCUGCCCUGCACCAGCCCUGAGCCAUCGCCUCAUUUUAUUCUCAUUCUAACUUGGAUAAUGGGAUCUGCCUCUUACCAACUGUGACCUUAGGCACAGGAUCAGCCCCAAAUUGAGCCUCAUUUUGUCCAUCUGUAAAAUGAGGAUGGCACUAGAGCCCCGUCUAGGGUGAAUGUGAAGGUCAGAGCCUGCACAAGCUCAUAGCCACCAUGCAUGACUUGGGACUUCUGAAUGGGACCAAGAAAUAUCUAACAUGCGAUUUCCUGGAAAGCACAUAGGAGUUUGGCCCAGAUCCAGACUUGGCAGUUGCUCAAUCAAGAAGAAGCUGCCAGGCACAGUGGCUUGUGCCUGUAACCCCAGAACUUUGAGAGGCUGAGCGGGGUGGAUCACCCAAAGUCAGGAGUUCAAGACCAGCCUGGCCAACAUGGUGAAAUGCCGUCUCUACUAAAAAUACAAAAAUUCGCUGGGUGUGGUGGUGGGUGCUUGUAAUCCUAGCUACUCAGGAGGCUGAGACAGGAGAAUCCCUUGAACCCAGAGGCAGAGGUUACAGUGAGCCGAGAUCGUGCCACUGCCCUCCAGCCUGGGCAACAAAGAGUGAAACUCUUGUCUAAAAAAAAAAAGAAGAAGAAGAAGGAGAAGGAGAAGGAGCGGGAGAAGGAGAAGAAGAAGAAGAAGAAGAAGCCUCAGUGAAGUGCUCCAGCAUCUUCACCCCCUUGGUCACUUGCUCAUCUCCUUGAUGAACAAAAGCGGCCCCAGAUCAGAGCCAUCGAGCACCUGCAGCCAGCAAGGUUGGCUGGUUUUCAUUGUGUGCAUUUUUAAGGCGUCUUCUAUUUAUAGAAAGGAUUGUGGUCUUGCAUUUGUAGCAGCGAUGAAAGCUUUACUUUUUGGCAAAAUGUGUGCAAGUUGUUUAGAAGUGAGUCUGUUUGAAAAAAAAAAUUAAAUGAAUAAUGAUUUAGGAGGUGAGUUUGUUUCCUAGGGCUGCUGUGAUGAAGUGCCA
rnacentral:lncRNA from 1 species